rnacentral:rRNA from 1 species
AGGGAAAGCGGGCGGCAGGCCUAACACAUGCAAGUCGAGCGGAUGAAGGGAGCUUGCUCCUGGAUUCAGCGGCGGACGGGUGAGUAAUGCCUAGGAAUCUGCCUGGUAGUGGGGGAUAACGUCCGGAAACGGGCGCUAAUACCGCAUACGUCCUGAGGGAGAAAGUGGGGGAUCUUCGGACCUCACGCUAUCAGAUGAGCCUAGGUCGGAUUAGCUAGUUGGUGGGGUAAAGGCCUACCAAGGCGACGAUCCGUAACUGGUCUGAGAGGAUGAUCAGUCACACUGGAACUGAGACACGGUCCAGACUCCUACGGGAGGCAGCAGUGGGGAAUAUUGGACAAUGGGCGAAAGCCUGAUCCAGCCAUGCCGCGUGUGUGAAGAAGGUCUUCGGAUUGUAAAGCACUUUAAGUUGGGAGGAAGGGCAGUAAGUUAAUACCUUGCUGUUUUGACGUUACCAACAGAAUAAGCACCGGCUAACUUCGUG